CCCUUAGAUGUCCUGGGCCGCACGCGCGCUACACUGAGUGUCUGAGAUACGAGUCUGCCUGGUCCGGCAAGGUCUAGGUAAUCGCUAAAAGACACAUCAUGCUUGGGAUAGAUUAUUGCAAAUAUUAAUCUUGAACGAGGAAUUCCUAGUAAGCGCAAGUCAUCAGCUUGCAUUGAUUACGUCCCUGCCCUUUGUACACACCGCCCGUCGCUCCUACCGAUUGAAUGAUCCGAUGAAUAUCAUGGAUUGAGGAUGCAAGUAGGUUCGCCUAUCUUCAUCUUCGAGAAGUGAAGUAAAUCUUAUCAUUUAGAGGAAGGAGAAGUCGUAACA
rnacentral:rRNA from 1 species